rnacentral:rRNA from 1 species
UACGGGGGGAGCAAACGUUGUUCGGAAUCACUGGGCGUAAAGGGCGCGUAGGCGGCCUGUUAAGUCGGACGUGAAAUCCCUCGGCUCAACCGGGGAACUGCGUCCGAUACUGGCGGGCUUGAAUUCGGGAGAGGGAUGUGGAAUUCCAGAUGUAGCGGUGAAAUGCGUAGAUAUCUGGAGGAACACCGGUGGCGAAAGCGAUCCGCUGGACCCUCUCUGACGCUGAGGCGCGAAAGCCAGGGGAGCGAACGGG